AUUGAACGCUGGCGGCAUGCCUUACACAUGCAAGUCGAACGGCAGCACGGGAGCAAUCCUGGUGGCGAGUGGCGAACGGGUGAGUAAUAUAUCGGAACGUGCCCAGUCGUGGGGGAUAACGUAGCGAAAGUUACGCUAAUACCGCAUACGAUCUAUGGAUGAAAGCGGGGGAUCGCAAGACCUCGCGCGAUUGGAGCGGCCGAUAGCAGAUUAGGUAGUUGGUGGGGUAAAGGCUCACCAAGCCGACGAUCUGUAGCUGGUCUGAGAGGACGACCAGCCACACUGGGACUGAGACACGGCCCAGACUCCUACGGGAGGCAGCAGUGGGGAAUUUUGGACAAUGGGCGAAAGCCUGAUCCAGCCAUGCCGCGUGCAGGAUGAAGGCCUUCGGGUUGUAAACUGCUUUUGUACGGAACGAAAAGGUUUGGCCUAAUAAGCUGAGCUCAUGACGGUACCGUAAGAAUAAGCACCGGCUAACUACGUGCCAGCAGCCGCCGCAG
rnacentral:rRNA from 1 species